AAAAACAUGUCAUUAGCUAAGUAGAGGUGGCGAAGCAUCCAAGAUGUUUUGAAAAAAUCGUUGAUAUCGAUGUUUGCCAAGCCAACAUCGAUGUCUUCCAUCUCUAACUACGCAUCGAAGGAAAACUUGUAAAAUAGUUAUGUUGGCUGGCGACAAUUUGCAUUUACAUAAACUUCAAAUUUAGAUGACAGUAUGGAGGAGCGCGCUGCGAAAAAAAGCGGGAAGCUUCUACUGAUAAAGCAUUCAAAAAGUUAUCCAAGAGUUUAGCAUUUCCGCUCAUCGUGUGAGUGUACGCGUAUUUAGCAAAGCUGGUCAGCUCAUUUCCCACCGCCGCACAAGACUUUCCCCGACUGUCGUCGACAAAUUAUUGUUUUUAAACAAAAACAAGCAUUGGAAAUAAAACAUAAAUGGAAGAAAGAAGUCCACUAAAUUCUGGAUGACGGAGUACAAACGAACCAUAACCAACCAAUAAGUAGCCAUUUCCAAUUAAAAACAAUAAGAACAACUUGGUUUCGUGAACUAUUCAAAUCAUCAACUUUAAUUGAUGAUUUAUAGUCGAGAAAUGCCAAAUCUUUACCCAAUUCUUAUUAACUUUCGUUUCCCUUAGGAAUAACCUCUUCCCCAAUCCGGAAGCUACUUUCUCCCUUAUUGCAAUAAUAAAGGACAUCCGGUUACACCUCGAACGCAUCAGGACAUAGGACUAAUGUUUGACCAUGAACUGGACGUCGGAUGCCGAAAAGUUAUUUCCCCGGAAAGGAAACAAUUGGAAUUAGAUACAUUUAGUUUUACAUUUACGUUAAGUAUUUAAUUCGUUCUAACUAGUCUGAUUAAACCUAUUUACUUUUUAAGCAUCUCCCACUUUCAUCAUUAUAACAAGACCCAAUGUUUUAUAUAUUUGCCUAACUAAAUCCGUCUUUUGUCUGUCCGCCAAGCGUCUACGCAUACUGUCAACAAUUCUUCUUCUGCACAGUUUCGUAGCUGGCCAUUUUCGCUUUCACAGAUCGCAGUAGGCCAUAUAAAAGUUUAUUUUGACCUAGUCGUCGGCUUCUGACAUGUCCCGUCCUUGUCUUGUCCAUGUAUUUUAUACUUCCUAUUCUAACUACUUUUAGCUAUAUCACAGAUGUAUAUCACAGUUGAGAAAUUAUCACACAGUAUCACAUCGAUCGCAAAUCUACUCCGGUCAAGUGCCGAGUGGAUGACGCCGAUGUGAGCCAGAGAAAAUUACUCGUAGAGAUAUGAACCUUGAUAAGCUGAUUUCUUUAUUUACCUCCUGGUCUUUGAUUCAUGUUCAAUACCGAGCAGUCUCGCGAGCAACCGCUCUGUCCAAAAAGCACUUCUCAAAGCAGGAGUAAAUUAUAUUUUCUCCACUGUGAAGUUCACAGUGCUGCCGUUUCAAAAUUGGGCGCCAUCUGUUAAGAACCUGGUUGGUCCUGCGUGAUGUUUCGGAUUUUCUCAGGCUAGCCCAGGGGCCGUGGGACCCCGAGCCCUGUCCGAUCACACACUCAUAGAACUUAACGCCGGACUCACACCUUCAGGAAACCGACGUUUGACAACCUGCAUCGUGACAGAUGAAUUCAAAUUUAACACUCAACUAACAAAAUGGGUCUCACUGGGUCUGGUCAGGUCUGGAAUGGAAAGUCCAUUAAUUACGUCCUCACUCCUGGACUCAGACCACUUACCUAGGAUAUUUCCUGCACCGGCUUCCCAGCGGAUCUUCAAAAAGAUUUUUUACUUGUUUUUUGUUUAUUGGCUUUUUUAGAUUUAAUAAAAUAUUUCUUGUUUUAUGGUUUUCACAAAU